GGCCUAGUGGCGCAGUGGUAACGCGUCGCACUGUGAGUUUAACCUAAUUGACAAUCUCCGUCUUCUCAUUCUAACAAUUCUCGAAGUGUAAUGCGAAGACUCCCGUGUUCAAAUCACGGCUAGGCCU
rnacentral:tRNA from 1 species